GAGUCUCUCAAAGCAAGAAAGCCCAACAAGGGACUUAGAGAAGGACAGCUCCCAGGGGAGCAGGGGACUGGACCUGGUGAUGCUGGACACCUUGGCAAGGUCACAAGACCCAACACAUGGCUCUCUGCACUCCUGCAGACCACCACCCUGGGCAGAGUCAGCUUAACAUAUCCUCACAGAACACAUGACACAGGGGCUCGGUCUCCCUCCUGCCUUUAUUUCUCCUCCAGAGGGUUAAAUGUCCCCCCAAGUGUGUGCAGCCAGAAGUCGGUCUAAUCCAACCCCCUUUUAGGGUAUGAUACGUCUAGAUUCUGAAGGAAGAUCAAGAGAAGGACACCAACCAGCAGGGCCUAGACAGCAGAGCAGGAGCUGGAAGUGGGAAGGGGCAGUAGCAAGGACAGGGAGGAUGAGGGACAGAGCUAGAGGGUGUCACAAAAGAGGACAGAAUUUGGGAAGGGAAGGAAUGGAAGGGGCCAUGUUAGCUGGGGCCUAGCCAGCCCUGGGUCAGGGCCCUGGGCAGGAAGCCUGGGGUGAGGGUAGGCUGCAUGCCCAUUGUCCCCCUCGCCCAUCUGUCUGUCCGCAGGCGCUAAUCUCAGGCUUCCACUCCAUCACGCUGGCAGGACUCCUGCCCAUUUGGCUCUUUCUGUGUGUCUGGAGGAGGUGGCAGCAGGCAGGCAGCAGAGAAAACAGCUCCGGGAAUAAACACAGCCUCUGCUCAGCCUUCUGAGACCAGGACACUCAGGACACCAGGUGGAUCAUGGCAGUCAAACCUGUCACACUUCCUGAUGGCUCCCCCUGUGCCUGAAAGGAGGCUUUAGUAUCUGAGUUACUUGAGUAACCAUGAGGUCAAGGACGACUUCCUGUCCAGCGCCGUGCUGGGCUCUUCUAAGCAUCGUUUUAUUGAGUCCGCACACCAGAUCUCCGAGUUGGGUACCAGUAUUCACUCCCUUUGAACAUCUAAGGCUCAGAGAGGCUUGGAAACUCACCCGAGGCUGCAAAGCUGGGAAGUGGAGGAAACCAGAUCUGGUUCUCUGCUUUUAUCUUAGAUUCCUUGUGAUCUAGAUGGAGAGCUGAGGAGGUGGAGGCCUCACGGUGGGAGCACCCCACUUCUGAAGGUGCAGGCCUUUUAGAGUCAUCCCCAGGGAAAUGGCCUCUUGUAUGCUGUCCGGGUUGCUAUGCCCUCGCCUAUACCUCUGCAUGAAUGGUUGAGUGCAGUGGGGGAGGCCUGGCGGGAAUGGAGUUGUGCCCGGGGCUGAUGUGCCUCAGCUCUUUGUACAGAAUCGGCCAUCUCCCCCGUAUCUCUACCCUCUUCCUUACGCAGGUAUAUCCAGGAUUUGUGAGAGUACCCAUGAGUCCUUGCCCGACAGUCACAUCUACAUGACUAAGGAGGACACCAAGGGGAAAGAAUCAGCUCCAAGGACUCCAAGUGACCCGAGGUGGCCUCAGCAUAGUUACCUCUCUGUUUUCUUCUUCACAUAGAACCCUGGGUCAAGCCCCAAUUCUUACAUCAGCCAGUUAACACCUUUGGCUUCAGCUGGACAGGGCUAGAUGGCAAGCCUACUUAGAUACCAUCUCAUGCACCAUUAAUGACAGCCAUGACAGCCACUCACCAGAAAGCAGCUCCUGGUGCCCAUUGGAUAGAUGAGAAAGUCAGUGGGGAGAGAGAACUUGUUCAAAGCCACAUCUAUAGCAGCCCUAGAAUCAAGGCCAUUUGCACCCCUUCCCCUGCCCUGUCCACAGUUCAUGUGAUGUGGCCAGUGCUCCUCUCAGCAAGAGUAUCGAGCUUGAGUCCCAAGUGUCCCUUAAAAACAUAAUUCCAAGCUAGGGAGAUAGCUCAGUUGGUAAAAUGUCUUCUGCACAGGCACUAGGACCGGAGUUCAGAUCCCCAGCACCUGGGUACUGCAGCACGGAGCUCUGUAACUUUGCUGUUGUUGAAAGGACAGACAGAUCCCUGGAGUUCACCGUCAGGCCAGCUUGGACAAUCUGUGAACUCCCGAUUCAGCCUAGAGACUCUGCCUCAAAAAAUAAGGUGGAGAGCAAUCAUGGAAGACACCUGAUGUCAACCUCUGGCCUAUACACACAUGUACACACACACAUACACACAUACAGACAUGUGCACACACUCACACAUGCACACACUCAUACGUGCACACACGCACGUACACCCCACAUAUAAAGGAAAGAAAGGAGUAAUCUUCAAGGGGUUCAAAGAGUCCUCUGUAGUGUCCACAGGAAGGCUCAUAGCUUCUGGGCCACUCGUCUCCACUGAGCUCAUUCAAUGAGUCACUUUCCAGGAGAAGGAUGUGAAGUGGGGCUGAUUCUCCCAUCGUAAGGCAAAUGCCUAACGCUCCCAUUAAUGUUUAUCACACAGCAGAGCUGCAGAAGUGACAGCUGAGUGGAGGGGCCCUACAGCGUGUGGUGGAGAGUGUGAAGAACCUGACAUGGGAGGCCCAGGCUCAUCCCAGAGCUGCCCUCAUCCAGAGACUGACCUUGGGCAAGUCCCUUCCCCAUCCUGGGCUUCUGUUUUCUCUUCUGUCAAAUGAAGGAGUUGAAUUAGACGGUCCCCAAGGUCCCUAGGAGGCUGAACCUUCUAGGAGCCUGUGAUUCGUGUUUCAAUUAAAGUUCAGCAGACUGACUAUCAGCAAAUUUAAUGACUCUUCAAAGUUGACCACGGCAGGCAGGCAGGAAAAAAAAAAGAUAAAUGUAAUUUUAUCAAAAUGGGAGAAGAUGAGAAAAAGCAAGCAAAUAGCAUUUUGGCGCAGAGGCCAUGCUUGCCAGUCUAUGGUGACCUAACGCCCUUGCAUGGGGGAGAAAGGGGAGUGAAAUUGGGUUCUCUGGAGAGCACCUAGGUUUGCCUUCCCAGACCCAAGGAGAGAGCGGGCCCUAGCCAGGGGCAAAACGGGACUCUUGGGGUUAAUUUGAAAUGAGGACAAGGGAAGAGGGAAGCCCCAGAAGAAAGUGAUUUAAAGCUACCUAAAAGAGGGACUUAUGACAGUCACAGCCAAUUCUUCUCCAUUUGACCCAAAGGCCUCCCAAUCUCCUGGAAUUUGGCCUGGGAGACUCUCAAAUUGGGUAUCUCCACCCCAGGGAGGUUAAAGGGUCUCUAUGUGCCCUCAAUUUCCCCCCAAGAAACACUACAAAGAGUGUGAUUUAAGGAAAAAUACUAUUUGUUUCCCAAUUUACAAGCAAUUACACAUGAUUUACAGCCCAGCCUGCCUCUUGCACAAGCAGCCCCGUAAUUUACAAGACCAUAAAGUCCGGGGGCUCCCAUGCUCCCGACACUGUAAAUCUGGCCUGGAUGGUGGCUCCGGGUGGAAAUGAUUAAUCUGUCCUUCCAGGGAUGAGCCCGCACAGCGCUACAUUAGCAGGGGAAACAUCAUGCUGAGGUGGCACUUCUCCGCCACACCCGUGACACCUGUUUUGCACUGGAAGAGAAAUAUGGUCCAGGUCCCACGAGGCCAGGCCAAUGAGAGGUGCCAGCCCGGGAUGCAAGCCCAGUCACUUAAGUACUGGUGUGCAUGUACCUUCUCUGUUGUCCUGUAGAAGCCCUGAGCCCUCUCUCCACAGGCCAAGUUCCAGCCCAGAGGGAACUUGUGACAACUCAAGCAGGAGAUGGAAUCAGACAGGCAGCAGCCAAGUGUCAGACACAUAGACCAUGGUUUGGCCUGGUCUGAGAUUAAAGACUCUGCCAAGCCAACAGCGGCCUUGGAAGGUUCAGCAGCCAGCUUGGACUGGGUCAGCCUGCUUUAGGGAUCUGCCAGGACAAAGAUAGGCAAGGAGGUCAGCACUAGGGAUAGCUCCUAAAAAUACUGCCCGCCCAGAGAUGUCCAGGAGUCCAACCCACCUGAGCAGUGGAGGCUAAAGAAGAACUUGGACUGAAAGAAAGGCCACAUGGCCUCAACAAACGGGUUGGUCCUCAUCCGCCCAAGAGCCCUGUCCCCUUCCUCUUGAAACUGGAUGUCUUGAGACAGACACCCCUGAAUCCCUCAAAGACUCACCAGUAACUUACAGCUUAAGGAUCCUUCUUCCAGCCUGUCCCCACCCCUGCACUUUCUCCACACCAAUUCUGAGCAGAACCUUGAUCAGAAUCCUUGCCUUCUGACUAGAUGGAGACAGAGAAGUGCGUGACAGGAAUCACUGAUAUUUGUUGUGUUCUUACCCCUCUGGAAAGAAUGGCCCACUUCACUCUCUGGAUUGAGGCUAAAUUCUUUUUUUUUUUUUUUUUUUUUUUUAAAGAUUUAUUUAUUGAUUAUAUGUAAGUACACUGUAGCUGUCUUCAGACACUCCAGAAGAGGGCAUCAGAUUUCAUUAGGGAUGGUUGUGAGCCACCAUGUGGUUGCUGGGAUUUGAACUCUGGAUCUUCGGAAGAGCAGUCGGGUGCUCUUACCCACUGAGCCAUCUCACCAGCCCGAGGCUAAAUUCUUUGAAAGACCAACAGCCCCGUGGAAGCUGCAGAAAUGACUCAGUUGGUAGAGUGCUUGCCGUGUACGCACGGGGACCUGACUUCCAUCUCCAGCAAGCUCAGAGAAGACCAGGUGUAAUGUCAGAGCUGGGGAAGCCGAGACAGGAGGAUCCGAGGGGCUCACUGGCCAGUCAGUCCAUUCAAAUUCAUGAGUUCUAGGCUUAAUGAGAGACCUUGUCUCCAAAAAUAAGGUAGAGAGUGAUAGAAAAAGAUAAACAUUAACCUUUGACCUCUGGCACUUGCUCAGGCACAUGUACGUGCAUGCGUUCGUGCGUGCAUGCGUGCAUGCUGGCUUAUGCAGACAGACAAACAGACAGACAGAUGCACGCGCACACACACACACACAGAGAAAGAGAGAGACAGAGAGAGAGAGAGAGCAAGAGAGAGAGAGAGAGAGAGAGAGAGAGAGAGAGAGAGAGAAUAAAAUCUGACCCCCCAGAUAGCAGAGGACAUUGGUAUGUGGCCCCAGCCACCCUAUUUCCAGAGCCUGCCUGCUUCACCACUGGAUGACAGUGCUUCCAUUAGAUGAGCACUGUGAGAGAGUGCAUGAGCCCAAGCACACAGAUCAGCCUUUUAGGCCUGAGUUCUCACCCCCAGCUCCUGCCCACUCCUUCUCUGUGGACAGCUAAGAGAUCAGGUAAUGUGUGCUCCGAAGCCCAGGACUCCCUCCUGGUCUCAAAGAAGCCCUGAGUACUUCCCAUUCAUUGUCCUCUGGCCUGGCCUGGCUUUCUGACCUCAGAGCACAGCAGGGCCCAGCUGCAGUGUGGCAGGGGUCCCUACCACACUGAGGAAGGAGCAGAGAGUGCAUGUCAGCUGUGGUUAGCUGGAGGGGUCAACACCAGGAUGCAAGACCACAGUCCCAGUCCUGGAAGGGCACAAAGUGACAGCACAAGAGACAGAGAGGACGCAGAAUGGAGAGUGACACUUGGCAUAUAGGAAGCAGGUACACUAGGUCAUGCAGAAGGGUCAAGGAGAUGCGCCCAAGUGCUUGUUAAGAAGCCCAGCCUUGCCACUCACAGGCAGGUUACCUAGACUUUCUAAGGCUCUGCUUCCUCAUCUACAUAAUGGAACUCCAGACUAAAGCACACCCUUCCAAGAGUGCAUGAAAUGGCAGAUCUGGAAGCCGUGGCAAAGCUCCCAGCAGAUGUGAGUUUUAACAGUGUGCUAAUGAUUUUCACAGUCAAGGAGCCUGUCCUGAACCGCCUGGACCAAGAACCUGGAACACCAGCUGUAUCCUCAGGCAUUUGUGAUGGAGGAGACCCCACUGACACAGACUGUCCGCAGCAUCUCUCAGGUAAGAACAGAGAACCUUUGUGGAUUCCUAUCAUGGAACAUGGAAGGAAUUCCCCUCUCUUCCCCCUCUCUGUCUCCUGUUUCCUCUCACCCUCUUCCUCUUUCAGUCCCUAUCUCCAGCUCCUUUGUUUUCUCUACAACUGUUCAAACUCUCUCGCUUGCCUUUUGUCCUUUUCCCUUUCAUUUCCUGCCUCCUCUGCCCCACCAUUGCCCACAGGACAGACUACCUGGUUGCUAUGGGGUUGGUGCCUGCUCUCAUGAGACAAGGCAGGACCAUCUCACUAAAGCCCCGGCUCCAUUUGAAGGCAUGGUCUCAUAUGGCCCUUGCCAAGACCACUAACUGGAAGUCUGCAUGGCCCAUUUCUCUAUCAUCACGUGCUUCGGCGACAGACGUGCCGCUGGGCAACUCUGGGCACUGAAACCUCCAUCUGAAUCAUACUUCUACUGCUGUUGACAGUCCUCAGUGUCUUCUGCAUCACCUUUUAGCUCCUGAGAAAUGGGUCUGCCGGCUCACUGGAGACAAACUGGGCCUGAUUCCAAAUUACCCUGUAGUGCCAUUUGUAAGAGUCUUAGCUUUGCAACUGGCUUUUCAUGACAUCUCCCCUCAAGUAGCCUACAAAUCCCCUAAGAAAGAUGCUGUUCUUUCCUCCGAUAUGGUCCUGGACCACUGGGCAAGCCAAAGGAAGAACUCACAAGGUGAGGUACUUACAACAAGGGAGAUGUGCCAAGCCACAAAAAGCAGUAGCCCGAUAAAACCUAAUUUACCUACCCUGGUAUGCUGCUGGGUGAUCUUGGGUGACUUCUCUCAGAACCUCUAGGACAUGCUCAGUCUGGCUCUUCUGCAGCCUCUCCAUGUGAUACCAAUGCAGCUGUCAAUCAUGGUGCCCUUUCUCCAAGCCAUUGGAAUGGGUACGUGUCCAAGCCGGCAAGUCAGCAGUCAUCCUCCGUGCCCAGACAUGGACUCCAGGAUGGGCAUGGGCAUGUGACCAGUUUAGUGUUAUAGGAUGCUUGGCAGAGGGAAAGUCUUUCCCACUAAUGGAAGAAAGCCUGUGCUAUAUGAAGAACAGAGGAAAGCUACAUCUGGGUCUCACAGAAAUAAAGUCAAGAAUGUUAUGACCUGAUCUGCUAGUUCUAGCUGUUCCCAAAGCGGUCUGAACCUAGACUGUCCGAUGGCGGCAGCCUGCUAAUUCCUUUUGCUUAAGCUAUUUUGAUUUGGGUUUCUAAAAAUCAACACAGCACGAAUUCUAUUUGCACCACAAGGAAAGAUGAGAAAUAAACAAGUAGUUUGUGGCAUGUGUGUUGGUGGCCAGCUGUGGUUCCUAGCCCUCUGUUCUUUCCCUCAGGGCAUCCAGGUUCAACUUCACACCAGGCUGGAAAGAAGACGUGAAGUCCAGAAUGGGUGGGAUCUGCAGGAUCCUGGUCUGGCUGGGAGUGAGUGGGGGGAUGGAUCAAGAAGGUCUUCUCAGAGUAUCUUAGCAGUAACAGCUCUUGAAGAUGAAGGCUUUUCCCCACGAUCUUCAGUGGAAUACCUCUAAGUGAGACACCUCUCUUACAUGAUCUUAGCUUGUGUGUAAGUAUUUUAUUUAGGGUGAACCGAGGCUACAUAUGGACCCUGGAAGGUGGGAAAGGAGUUUUCAGGUAAAUAAAAAUCAUUGGCUAGAGUUCUGUGAAUGCCUCAUCUGUGUGGAGAGGCCUUCCAGAAAUCCCAGGUACUUGCUGGGCAAGUACAUAUGGAGGGGAGGUUUGAACUUGUAGGUCUGCCAAGGACUAUUUGAACUUCCCCAGAUAGAGGAUGUGGGGGGUCGGACUCCCCAGACAAGGUCAGAAAAAGGGGAAAUCCUGCUGGUUAAGGGAGUCUGAAGCUAUCUAAACUUGGUAGACUGUGCUUUUAAUUAGCAGGGUUUUCUACAGAGACUCUGCUUUCACUGGGUGAGGGUGUUUACACAUGGAGGUCAAGAAGCUUGCCUCAGUCCUAGGAAGGCUGUUGGGUGGCCCUCGGCAGCUCCAACCCUCCAUUCCAGAUGUCCAGGUGGGUGGUCGCAAAGGAUGGUCCUGCCAGCUCUUCUCUGACAGAGUCACCAGCAGCCUCUUGUCCCCCCUCCUUUUCUUCUGUUCAUUAUGCAAAUGGAGCUUGGAGUCACCGAGGCUUAAUACACUGCUGGGAGUAUGCAGGGGGAUGUCCCCAGUGCACCUCUCUGCAAAGUAGAACCCCUCCCUGGGCCUGGCAACCCUGCACUCAGAAACCCCUGCACCAAUGGUAAAACUUCUCUAAGCAGAAAUGAAUCAGGCAUCUGGGCAGGCAGAAGAGAACUUGAAGAAGCAUGGACGGUUUAUUCAGUUUCAGUCAGCAUCCCAACACCUCUAUAUGAGACAGCUCCCAAUCCUUCUUCACAGCGGGCUCCUUCAUAUGCUUGCAGUUCAACAAGGCUAUUUCAGAAGAAACUACCAGACCUAAGAGUCCCAUUAACAGCCUCACAGAGCCCCCAUAUUGAAUGGGAUGAUGUGGAGCCUGCAAGAACUCUACUCUCCCUAGGUCCCAAGAUCCAGACGAGGCUGGACAUGGGUAGGUUUGACUGGAACGGCCCAGGUCUUCUCGGUGUCAGCAUCUUGGAAGGGGCAUAGUAGGUGCACCCUAUCCCAGUCAGCUUCUAGAUGAAGAACUGCCUGGUAGUCAGUGCCUUUACCUGGUAAUCACAUGGCAAAAGAGAGGGCCAGUGCAGGAACAGGACCUAGAGAAAUGGAUCUUAUCCCAACAAGGUCCUACCACCUCCAGGGCUUCCCCCACUUCCCCUCAGGCUGGACAGCCCAGGUACAAGGAGCCUAGCUUGGGGACACUAGAAGGGAUGUGACCCAUGUCUUAAGCACUUUCUAUGGUAACAUUUUUCUCGUAGGGUCUAAACUAGGCAUGGUUACUCCUAUUGAACAGACCAGGAAACUAAGGCUAAGGGGAAAUGUGAUUUGCCCAAGCUAACUGACAGUAGAGGUAAGGAUUCAACUCCAUGAGAGAUUAUUUUCUACACCAUGGACUGAAAGAGGGUCCCCAAGCUCAGCUAAGGGUCCCCGAGGAGUCCAACUUGCUCAGAUAGGUUAUCACCAAUAUCAAUGUCAUCUUUGCACAUCAGGUGUCCAUUGGCCCCCAAAGUGCAAAGACUUGAGGGGGACUUCCACUGGGGUUCCCUGGGAGGCAAGUAAAGAUUCAAUACUGCCUGCCAGCCUGGCAUCUGCCCCAAGCCAAUAGAAGAACAGCCAAUAUCUAGAUGAUUGAUUACAUCACACACGUGCUCCGUUCCUAGGUUCAAAUCCAACAGCUCUGGGGACAGCCCGAGACCUCACUGCAGGGCCUGUCCCCCACCCAGGACAUAAGCUUGCUACGUCUGUCCUCAGGGUCUUUGCUUGUGAUGUUCUUUCCUGCAGUCAGGCCAUCCCCUGCUCUGUUCAGCCAUUUGCUUGCCACUUUAAGGAGCAACCCUCUCCAAGCCCAGAAUGAGGUGUCGAAAUGUUUUUAGACAGCACAGCAGGUGUUCCUAAGCAGUGAACAGUAUCCAAAACACACCUGAUUUCAGCACAGCAUAGUGGACAGUUCCUGCACUGGCCUCAGCUGUUUUUCUCAGUUUGGGGAGGAGGUGAGGCGCAGCAGCAGGGGCUAGGGACUGCAGCUAUGUGUCUGCCUCCUGUCCUCCAGCGGGAUGAGUCUGAGGUGUGUCUACUCGGUUCUUCAAACCUUAUUAAGAGUGAGCCCCAAUUGCCCACAGCAAUAACCAGCUCAGUAUGCUACUGGCUUUGAUCCCUCUCCCGUCACACAGUCUCGGACUCCUCCACUCCUGUUUCUUCCCAAAUAAGCUCUACCUGCACUCAUGUCCUCAUCUGAACUUCUACUUUCAGAAGCAAUGAUCACACAAAGCCAUGAAGACUUCCAGUGGUGGUGGAGUCAUGGGAACACAGGUUAAAACAUAAACUGUAUACAUUGUAACCCAAACGUCCCUUCCGGACCAAUGGAUAAACAACGUGGUCCACACACAGCUGAAUGCUAUUAAGCCUGCAAAAAGAAUAACUUGCUCUAUCCACCAUAACACAGAUUAACCUCAAAGACAUUCUAAGCAAAGCAAACCAGACAUAAAGGGGCCGGUACUGUAUUGUUCUUCUUAUGGGAAGUACCUAGCUAGUAUAGACUCAGAGAGAGACAGGGAGUAGAGCAGUGGCUACCAGAGCCUGAGUGAGUGGUGGGAGAAAGAGGAGAUGAGAGGAUGGGUAGAAGAGUAGAUGGUACUAUCUGAGAGAGUGGGAAAGUUCUAGAAGUCGAUAGUAGUGACCAACAUUAUGUGUACAACAUUAUGAACAUACUCUGUGCCGGUAACCUGUACCCUUAAAAAAUGGUAAAUUCAUGUUGUGCUUAUUUUACCAUAAUGAACAACUUUUAAGUUUCUGUUGAAAAAAUGGUAAAUCCUGACCCACUAUUUCACAGUCAGAGUUGCUUGGGCCAAGUGCAGCAAAACAAGCCGAUUCUAAGCUUACUUAAAAGGCAGGACAACAGAAGAACAAUACAGAGUGCAUCCUGGUGUGAGGGAAACCAGGAAGGUGGGAUCCCUGUGAACAUCAGAGAAGCCUUGUCCUGCAUCACUGUGCACACACAGCCAACCUACCCUGCCUUUAGUGGCACCAAAUGCUUCCCUGACUGCUUCCCCGCUGGCCUGCGGGUCCCAGGAGCAGCCACCCACAAGUCUCAGACUUCCUCAAGUAGAAUGUGCCUGAUAAAUACGAACCCUUGAAGGGAAGGGAAGGAAGGGAGAGCAUGGAGGUCUCUUGGAAGAGGGAAGCCAAAGUAGGUAAGAGCUCCUCCAGUCAGACUCAGAGAGGGAAGCUUUAGGCUCUACUGAGUUAUCCCAGGAGCAAUCUUGAGUGGCAGGGGGCAGGUGUGGGGGAUGGGAGGUGUGUGCGGUGAGGUGGUCAGGGAAUGAGCUCUUGCCGACCCACCUAAGGCUUCCAGGAAAGUGUCUGUAAACUAGCAGAGGCUUCGUUGCCUUUUCUCCUUUGCUGGUCUCAGUCCAAGAGGGCAUUCAGGGCUGCGUGCCUAGGCAUUCACGGCUCCCUCUGUUACGCAGAACGUGCCCUAUGAAACCACCCAAUGAGCCCUUAGACAUAGAAUCUCUGGCUGAUGAAACCAAGUCAACAGGGUACCCCCUCAAACUCUCCCUUCUUCCAGACACCUGGGGUCUUAGCAAGAGAGGCUUAAGGAGCCCACACACCAAGUUCAGUCACUCUCCAAAUCCCACCAUCCACCACAAGGAUGGGGACCCGGAAACUAUGAAACCAACCACAUCUCAAUGUCUUCUCAUAGUUGAGGAGACAGCAGAGGCUGGUCCCAUCUCCUCAGCAUGGUCCUCGGAUCUCCCAGUUCCUCCCUCCCGUCCUCACGGAGCAUGAGUCAUUACCUGUGUCUGAGCCUAAGUGGCUUCUCUCCCUUUCCAUCCCAUACCAGCCCAGGCCUAAAGUGAGCUUCCCUAGGAGUCCUGCUUCCUGGGUGGCAUGGACUGGUUCACCUCCUCUCCAUUUGAGCAUUCCUGUGAGCCACAUCCCCAGCACCUACAGUCUGCUCCUUCUCCCUCACUAAUACAGUGUGAAGUGUCAGAGAAAGUAUAGCCAGCAGGCUCCACACUGUCCCCAGCUGUCUCUCCCAAUAAAGAUGGCUGUCAGUCUCCUCUCUCCUUAGAAGCCUGCUUGCUGCUGAAGUCAAGUAGACAAGGAAUCGCAUCCCAUGAGGGCCAUCGAGCUGCUCCCUACAAAUUCCAUCCUUAGCUCUGAAAUGGGGUUAAGAAUCCUUCACGUGGUCUAUUCUUACAAAGUCUCAAAUGGAAUCCCGGGAGCCCCUCCCAACACCAGGCUCUGCUGAUUUCAAGAUCUGAAACCCAGUCUGCCUUAAUCUUGGAGACUUGUAAGUCAUUAUUAUGCUAAAAGCUCUGACCAGUUCUGCUUGAAAAGGAGGCCAGAGCUGGACCUUGAACUCACCAAUCUGCCCUGAUCCUGUGCACAGCUGGCUGCGGAGCCUGAGCCGAGCUGGUGUGUACAGAAAUAGCUCAGUCUCUGGCAGGCCAGUAGAUGCUCAAUUAACAGACUCUCUUCCCCUGACACUCCCCCUCGAAGAGCCAGAUAUGCAGAACAUGUUGAAAAUUGAGGUAAUAAAGCCAUUCCCUGAGAGGCUUCUUGUGACAGCUCUGAUGACACCUUCAGGGGAGGGGGCUGGAGAGAAUGAGGUCCGGAGGCACAGCUCCCUGAACCAGCUGGCUGAUUCUAGGGAGGCUGUCCUGCCCUGCUGAAGGGGGCGGAUGAAUCCUGCCAGAUUUGAAUGCUUCCUAAUUCUCCUGAGGGCUUCUCUGCUGACAGCCAAGACCCACCCACCCAUUAGCAGGACUUGGUGGCCAGAGCAGCAAGAAGAGGAAAAUCAGCGAAAAGGAAACAAGGCAAUAAACAGAGUCCACCCCACCAAGCGAGCCCCAGAGCCCCAUCUGGAGCUGAGUCGGAGGGCGGGACCCACAGGGCAGUACCUCCCCUGCCUGGACCAGAGACCCAAUGGGGCUGCCCUCCGCAGCUCCCAGACCCCUCUCCACAAAGCCUCCGUCACGUCCACUGAUUAUGGCAGUGUUCCCUACUACAGCAUAAACGAAUGCAUUAUGUCUUUGUUAUGCUAAUGUCAUAGCACGACGCAAUUUAAAUAGCACUUCCAGAGAAAUUAAGUAUGUUCAUUGACACAGUGAAAUGUUUUCACCCUCGAUGUAACCUUCACAGAUUCUGUACAAAAUCCAUCAGUCAGUGAGCUAUUCAUUUGCGAAUGCUUAGCAAUUAUUAUGCUAAUGCCUCACAAUGCAUUACAGCAAAUUCUCUGUAAGUGGCAGGAAGUGCAGCUGCCUGGCACGCUCCGCACCCAGAUUACAGGGCAUCUAUCAAUAUACUAAGUCAUCGUUGCAUCUUAGGUCCAAACACGUUUUCAAUCCAGCCUACCAGAGCAGACCACCCUAGUCUCAGGGACCGAGCUAGAAAGCAAAUGUCAACACAUCCUCUGAGGUCUCAGGAUGGCGAGGUGUAGCAGUAAGCUACUGCCUCAUAACAAACAUUGUAUAACUCAACCCUGUGACUCAGUAGCUACUGCAAUCUAAGCAUACAUUGCUCAAGAGCUGGGCCAGACCUAGGCUGGGCGUGAUUGCUAAUCUUGGUUGUCGACUUCAGUGGAUUGAGAAUCAGCUAAGAGGCAAGUCACUGGACAUACUUGUGAGGAGUUUUCUUUGCUGUGUUUACUAAAGUGUGAAUGCCCCCCCCCCAU